AAGUACUCAAUAGCAGAGGUUGGGGUAGAGAUAAAAAUGUUGGAUUCACCCAUGAGUGAGACCAUGGACAUGGCUGUGACUGUUAAGGGAAAGAAGAAUGACAGAAGGGCCUAAGGCUGCUUGGUGGGACAUCAACAUUUAAUGGCCAGAUACAGAAUAAGCCAGCAAAAAAAAAAAAAAAUUGAGAGUGGUAGGAGGAAAAUGAAGAACUGUCACGAACCAUUAAGCAAGAGGAAAGAGCGUCUCAAGAGUAAGAAGUCACUCCCUGCAGGUUGAUGUGUAGUUGGGGGGUUAGAGGGGGACAUGGAUUAUGUGUACUACUCAGCAGGCUAGUUUUUACUCCACCUCUUUCUGGCUGACUUGACACAAGCAACAACCCAACAGAAAACCAAUAUUUCUGAGAAUGGCUGCAAGUUUUUUUUUUUUGCUGUCUUUUGAGGUAAGAAAUCAAGGCUGAGCUCUUCUUUCUCCUAAUUCUCAGGAAGGAGGAAGGCAGAUAUGAGAACACUGAUUGGGUCUGAGUGUACUGGGCAGCAUCACUGUUAAAAGGUCAGUACACAGAUGCGAGCUCACUUGUCUGCUUCUUUCAUGUGACUGAAGUGGUUAAGAAGGUUGUCAACUCCCCCCUGCACCCCCCUCACCACCGCAGUAAGGGAGAGACAGGGCCAAACCUGCAGCUUGGGUAGAAGAGGCCAGGGCAGGUGUCCAAGGCCAGAUCAGCAGUCAGCCAGGGCAAAUGGGCUCACUCUGGUUACAUGACCUCAAGCAACUGACAGAAAGGAGUGAAAUGUGGGGAAGAUCUCAGUGUGUUUGAGAACUGGGAAGAUGAAAAGGGUUCAUCUCAUGGCCUGCUUUAGUUUGAAACAAUUUAAGCUUAACUAGAUUCCAAAAAAACAGCAUUUCCACCUGAACCAGCUGGGUUCAUUCCAGUCUUUUACCCUGGAGUUUGGUGCCCAAGUCCUAGUUAAGAAUAAAAUGUAGAGUCCUUUUGUUGUCCAUUUGUCAGUGCAAAUAUUUAAUAUAAAUAUUUCUCCCAGGGACCCUAUAGACUUGAAAAUAGUGGCUAUAGAUUGCAGACAAUUUUGAUAUUCCAGGGAUCCCUGACCAGAAUAAUAAGAAAUUACCAUAAUUUCUCAAUUUCUAGCACCACACAAAUUGCAUCUCACACACACAGACACAUACACACACAGGGGCGGGUUUACCUACUUCUCAGAAAAUUGCACAGAUUCAACAAGAAAGAAUAAAUAGUAAUUAAUGUGUUCCUUAAUGGCUGGUGAAUAAUAAUAAAAUGUUAACUAAAACAAAAACAACUUUUAUUUUUAAACCCACUAUCACCCCUCACCAAAUAUUUAAGUGAUAAAGUCUAAACUGACAGAACAGCAAAUUAGUACAGUCCUUUGGGAGGGAAAUAUGGUGAUACAUAGUAGGAAGCUAUCCUGUUAUUUGUUGCUUUUAUUUUUAAAUGACAGAAAGAAACAAAAUUUAAAAAGGCUAUGUUUCAUAAAUCACAAUACAUUCUUACAAUAUAUACUAUGUAAACACUUUAAAAAUGAGAUGCUUGUGUGAGAACUAACUUUGAAGGAGGCGCAAGGUAUUUACAAAUUAUUCUAUUGAAUGAUAGCAUUUGUGCAACACCUAUGUACUAGGGCUGUGCUGACUGCUUGUACACUUGCUGUUUAAUUUUACAAUAACCUUACAAGGCAGGUGGCAUACUAACCUCAUUUAACAAAUAAAAUGGAAGUGGAGGCUUAAGUUUAUUAUCUAGUAUCACUGAGGGAGGACAUAGCACAAUUAGGAUCUAAAACCACGAAACCUUGAUUUCAGAACCUACACUUCCACUCACUGUGCCAGUGUGUCAUAAAGUAUACAUACUUUUGAAAAACUCAUUUAUUUAAUAUGGAUCAAUGUUAUAUUUCUUUAAUAUACAGCAAUGUACAUAAUAUCAAAGUUAUGUAUUUAUCUAAUAUAGAUCAAGAGUUCACAGCUCUUAUCACUAAGGAUUUCUGGGUUUCUUUAGUAAAUUUUAAGAAAAGUGUUAUGAAUUAACAGUACAGAUGAUACAAGCAUAUGGCAAAAGUAACAAGGAGGUACUCCAAUGACUGAAAGUUUAGAGAACAAAACUCUUACCUUCCCGGCCAGGCAUGGUGGGGUGCGCAACUGUAGACCCAGCUACUCAGGAAGCUGAGGUGGGAGGAUCACUUGACCUAGGGAGGUUGAGGCUGCAGUGAGCCAUGAUUGCACCACUGCACUCAGCCUGGGGAGACAGAGUGAGACAAUGUCUCAAAAAAUUAAAGAGGAAGGAAGGAAAAGAAAGAGAGAAAAGAAAGGAAAGGAAAGGAAAGGAAGAAGGAGGGUGGGAGGGAAAGGAAGAAAGGAAGACGAAAGAGUAGUGGUAAAGAGCUUGGACUCUUGAGCCAGACUGCGUGGGUUAGAAUUAGGCCUCUGCCACUGUACUACCUGGAUCAAAUGUUAGUCUGAGUGGCUCAGUUUUCCCAUCUGUAAAAUGGUGAUAAAAGCUACCUGCCUCAUGGGACUCUUGAGAGACUUCAAUAAUGUAUGCAAAACAUUUAGAACACUGCCUAGCACAUAGUGAGCAUUAUCUGUAAGUAUUAACAUUUAUCUCUACUACAGUCCAGAUUCACUUCCUUGUGAUAUUUCUCUAUUCCUCUUGGACUCUUUUCAGUUCAACCUGCUUCUGAAAUUUCCAUACCAAGAAACAAUGAUAAUGUUAAGAAUUUUAUUUCUGAAAUUUAUCUUGGUUAGUCAAAACUACUAGAACAAAUUCUCUUUUACGUACUAGCAGUUAUUAACAUUUCACUAAAUAUGAACAUAAGCAUUUAAAGUAUGGGAGCAAUGGAACAAAUGCCAAGCAAAAAGCAGGCUAUCAAUAAGGACGCAUACACGAUACACCCAUGUUAAAAAAAGGGAAUCAUAUGGUCACAUGGAUGUUUGUCUAUGUGUCAAACGGCUCUGAAAAGUUUCACAGCGGUCUACUGAGAGGGAGAACUGUCUGUUUGGUGGAAGGGAUAUGAAGGAGACUUUUCACUGUACAUGCUUUGUUAUCUUUCAAAUCCGAAGCAGCGAAUGCAUUACCUAGACAAGAAUUUAAUUUUUUUUUUUUUUGAGACAGAGUCUCACUCUGUCACCUAGGCCGGAGUGCAGUGGCACGAUCUCGGCUCACCGCAACCUCCACCUCCUGGGUUCAAGUGAUUCUCCUGCCUCAGCCUCUCAAGUAGCUGGGACUACAGGCAUGCGCCACCAUGUCUGGCUAAUUUUUUUUUGUAUUUUUAGUAGAGACGGGGUUUCACCAUGUUAGCCAGGAUGGUCUUGAUCUCCCGACCUCAUGAUCCGCCCACCUCGGCCUCCCAAAGUGCUGAGAUUACAGGCGUGAGCCACUGUGUCCGGCCAAGAAUUUAAUUUUUAAAAUGGGGGUGCAAAGGGGACUUUAAAUAAGUACUCUGGAAGCCAGGUGUCAAGUCUCAAUUUGCUACUACCUGUGCUACCUUGGGCAAGUCACUUAACCUCUGAGUCUCAGACAAAGCAAGGAGCAGUAAAUAGUUCUAGGUUCUUUUUUUUUUUUUUUUUAAAGACAGAGUUUCCCUCUUGUUGCCCAGGCAGGAGGGCAGUGGCACAAUCUCGGCUUACUGCUACCUCCACCUCCCGGGUUCCAGCAAUUCUCCUGCCUCAGCCUCCCGAGUAGCUGGAAUUACAGGUGCCCACCACCACGCCCGGCUAAUUUUUUGUAUUUUUAGUAGACAGGGGGUUUCACCAUAUUGGCCAGGCUGGUCCUGAACUCCUGAACUCAGGUGAUCCACCCACCUCAGCCUCCCAAAGUGCUGGGAUUACAGGCGUGAACCACUAUGCCCAGCCCUAGGUUCUAUUCUAAUUCUAAAAGUUUUAUUAUCUCAAUGGGAUAGUAAAUAGAUGGUACUUUUAAGAUACGGGAGAGGUAGUAAUCCAACAUUUUGUAAAAUAAGGCAACUUUUUUAUGGACUUGAUUUUCAAAUGCAGUGGACCCUUGAACAACACGGGUUUAAGCUGCGUGAGCUCACUUAUAUGUGGAUCUUUUUCAACCAAAUGCAGACCGAAACCGGCAUAUAUGGAGGCCCAAAUUUUCACAUUCAGGUUCUGCAGGGCCCACAGUGUGGACUUGGGUAUGCCAGGAUUUCAGUAAAAACAGGGGUCCUGGAACCAAUCCCCUAUGGUAUAUGUUCUUUACAUAUACCAUAGGACAACUGGACUAUUUUUACAGUUUUAAGAAACGUAGAUUUGUCAAGCCUAUUAACCUUUCCAGAUCAUUUGUACUAUUCUUACAUAGAAACCCUUCUUAGAGGGGGUCUUAUAUAUAGAAAAUACCUACAUAGAAUAUUCUGCAUAUUACAGCCGGACGCGGUGGCUGAUGCCUAUAAUCUCAGCACUUUCGGAGGCUGAGGCAGGCAGAUCACCUGAGGUCAGGAGUUCAAGACCAGCCUGGCCAACAUGGCAAGACCCUGUCUCUACUAAAAAU
rnacentral:lncRNA from 10 species